UGAUGUUUGUGCAGGAAUAGAAACC
rnacentral:piRNA from 1 species